UACGUAGGAUGCAAGCGUUGUUCGGAAUUACUGGGCGUAAAGAGUACGUGGGCGGUAAUGUAAGUCUGAUAUUAAAGACCAAAGCUUAACUUCGGGACUGUAUUGGAAACUGCAUUACUAGAGGACAAUAGAGGAAGUUGGAAUUCUCAGUGUAGCGGUGAAAUGCGUAGAUAUUGGGAAGGACACCAGUGGCGAAAGCGAACUUCUGGGUUGUUACUGACGCUGAGGUACGAAAGCGUGGGGAGCAAACGGG
rnacentral:rRNA from 1 species